AUGUGCUGGAAUGUCCGAGGGCUCAACUCGCCGGCCCGGCGAGCUGUAGUGUGCGAGACGGCAGAAACACACAAGCUGGCCCUUCUCUGCCUGCAAGAGACCAAAAUCGAUGAAUGGAGUAGAUCGUUAGUUAGAGAGGUUGGCGGGUGCAGGCUCGCCGAUUGCGUCGUCUUCCCGGUGACUGGCACUCGUGGAGGCGUCGUGAUUUUCUGGGACAAGAGCCGCGUAGACGUGCAAUCCCACGCCAUCGGCCAUUUCUCCAUCACGGCCAAAAUUACCCUAGCGGCAACAGCUUCAUCCUUUUGGAUGACAAUAGUGUAUGGACCCGUCGACGAGGGGAGGAAAGAUGAGUUCCUGGCCGAGCUAGACUGA
rnacentral:rRNA from 1 species